rnacentral:rRNA from 1 species
AACGAACGCUGGCGGCAUGCCUAAUACAUGCAAGUCGAACGAGACCUUCGGGUCUAGUGGCGCACGGGUGCGUAACGCGUGGGAAUCUGCCCUCUGGUACGGAAUAACUCAGGGAAACUUGAGCUAAUACCGUAUAAUGACUUCGGUCCAAAGAUUUAUCGCCUGAGGAUGAGCCCGCGUCGGAUUGGCUAGUUGGUGAGGUAAAAGCUCACCAAGGCGACGAUCCGUAGCUGGUCUGAGAGGAUGAUCAGCCACACUGGGACUGAGACACGGCCCAGACUCCUACGGGAGGCAGCAGUGGGGAAUAUUGGACAAUGGGCGAAAGCCUGAUCCAGCAAUGCCGCGUGAGUGAUGAAGGCCUUAGGGUUGUAAAGCUCUUUUACCCGGGAUGAUAAUGACAGUACCGGGAGAAUAAGCCCCGGCUAACUCCGUGCCAGCCGCCGCCGUAAUAC